UACGAAGGGUGCAAGCGUUACUCGGAAUUACUGGGCGUAAAGCGUGCGUAGGUGGUUCGUUAAGUCCGAUGUGAAAGCCCUGGGCUCAACCUGGGAAUGGCAUUGGAUACUGGCGGGCUAGAGUGCGGUAGAAGAUGGCGGAAUUCCCGGUGUAGCAGUGAAAUGCGUAGAGAUCGGGAGGAACAUCUGUGGCGAAGGCGGCCAUCUGGACCAGCACUGACACUGAGGCACGAAAGCGUGGGGAGCAAACAGG
rnacentral:rRNA from 1 species